GCCCUCCCGCCUGGACAGUGGGCACAGGCCAGGCUGCAGGUGCCAGCUGGGCCGGGCUCCCCCAGCCUGCUGUUCCUCCAGCCGGCCUCCAGAGGGCAGCAUUCUCCAACUAAUAUCACCACCUUAUUUAAUGGCGAUGCUUUGCCUGGCUGGUAUUUGGCCAGGGACUCCCCAUAUUAGCUCAUUUUAUCCUAAAAAAAAAAAAAAAAAAAAGCUAUUAUUCUCUUUUUACAGACCAUGAGAUGGAGGCUCAUGGGGUGAAGGGACUGAGCAGGAUCACUCAGCAAUAAAUGCUGGAGCCAGGACUCAACUGUGCCUCUUGGACUCAGGAGCCUGUAUUCGUACCAGCUCCCACAGCCCUGUCCUCAGGCUCUCAGAAAGGGGGGAGGCUGACGGCGCCAGGCCAGGCCCCUUGUCCUACAGACGAGGAAACUGAGGCCCAGAGAUGGAGCCGGCCCCGGAACUUAUGCACGGGAGACUCCAGCCCAGUCGGACCAUGCCCAUGCAGGCCUCCCCUCUAGUGCUGCUCCGGGGCCUGGCUGUGUGACCGGGGCACGGUGUUAACCCUCUCUGUGCCUCGGCGGCCUACUCUGUAAGGUGGGAGGAUGAAGAUGGACCUCAUUCACUCAUUAAAUAUUUACUGAGC